CAGGACCUGUCGCCACUCUGCCCUUCGGCGAGGCUGUGGAGGCUGCUCGACGCCUAAGAAUCGCACGCAGCAGCACAACUGGCGUCCUUGAGCAGUGUCCCGACCAGCCGGCGUGCAGCCCUUCGGCGAAGCUGCGGUAGCUGCUCAAUGCCGAAGAAUCGCACGCAGCAGCAGUGCCACGAGCAGCGCGUACUUCGCCAAGCGCAUCGCAUGCUGCAGCUGCUGCGCCCGGAGCUACCCAGUGUUGCCGAAUGGGGUCCCGUGGACUUCUCUGUCUCUAGAAAGAGUUCGCGCGCGUGGCCUGCACGUUCAUGUUGACGUUCUUGAUUUCAUGAUCCGACGCUUUUUGUUCUUGUAUUCCUUUAACAUUUUAAUAAAUAUGGGUUUGAUUGUC